UGUAACCUCAGAUUGCUGAAGCAGAAAGAUUACAAGGUGAGUUUGAGGCCAGCCUAGGCUACAUAUGAGACCCUAUCUCAAAAACAAAAUCAAGAACAGAAAUUCCCAACAAUUACUAUCUUGUCAUCUGUGCUUUCAGAGAGUACAUUCAUUUCUUAUAAUAUAGUGAAGGUAACUUUUCUGUGAGUGGUAGGGUGGAGCUGGCAGAUGGUGCUGGGUCAUAGGAACCAGUGCCCAGUGCAUAUGGCAAGCUGGGGUUCCUGCAGCCCUCCCGGAGAUGACCAACCCAGAAACAAAUCUGCCAAAAUCCCACCUGGUUCUUUCAGAGGCAAAUCCUGAAGCUUCCUGGUGCUCUUGGAUGUCUCUCAAUGUAAGUGCCAGCCUGCUAGAUUAGGGGUCUUCAACCAGGGUUACAGAGACUGCCCCUUCUACCUUUACCACAGUGGCCCAAUUCUGGUUUUCUAGAUCAGAUUCACACAGUGCUUGGAUCCCAGUGGUGCCCAGAUCAGCAAUCCUACCUGUACACAGGCCUUAGUUUAUACAUGUUCUCAGAGCCUCUAUGUGAGAGAGAUGAAGAAAUGGCUUGAUCUCUGCUAGGCCUCAUCCGAGAAGCCGCCUCCAGAGUUCUCACUUUGCAACCUGAGAGUCCUGACACAAGACCGCGUGCAGAAUUGCAGACCAUGAGACUCAGGGUCCCAGGCUGGCUGACUGUUGAGGAGCUGUGAGGACUGUGAGGAACAAGUGAGUUGUCUCUAGCAAGCCUGAGAUUCAGGGCUGCUCAGAAGCCCUUGGUGUUAGGGUCUGAUUCAAGAAGGCUUGGUUUGGGUUGGUUUGGUUUAAGCCCUGCUCCCAGGUAGCCCAGGCUGUGUAGCCUUGAGCACCGGUCUGUCUCUUUGCCUGUACUUUAGGAAUGCUGGGUUCACAGGUAUGUGCCACCUUGUCCAGCCUAGACUUAGUGCUACAGUGUGUUUUUUUGUGGUAUAAACUCACCCAAAGCAUCUUGGGGGAGGAAAGGGUUUAUUUGACUUACAUGUUACACUCUGUCAUGAAGGAAUGUGGCUUGCUCCCCGUGACUUGCUCAGUGCCACCUGCCCAGGUAGCCACAACCAUGGUGGACUAGACCCUCUCACAUCAAGAAGCCCAUCUCCGUGGAGGGUCCCUUGUCCCAGGUGACUCCAGUUACACUGACAAACACUGUAACAGUCUAAUGGAGAGCCUGGUAUGAGGUAGGCAGGAGAGGAUGAAGCUAACUGCUGUUCUAGACUAAUGUCAUCCUUCAUCAAGAGCAGCCCCAUCCCUUCCCACCCCAGCCUUCACCUGGUAGAAACACAGAUUUUUUUUUUAACAAAGAACUUUAUUUGAGCCUUUUUGUCAUUAAAAGAAAACAUUUGGAGGUGGAGGCUCGGUGACUAUGAGAACUUACUGUUCUUCCCGAGGACCUGGGGUUUGAUUCCCAGCACCGCAUAGUGGCCCACAACUGUCUAUGGUUCUAGUACCAAAGAAUCUGUUGCCCUUUUCUCGUCUCCUAGAGUACCAGGCACACAUGCAGUACAAAUACAUAUGUUUAGGGAAAACACUCAUACACAGAAAAGAAAAAUAAAUCUUUAAAAAAAAAAAAACCUUCUAAAUUAGCACGUUAAAUUAACUUGAACUCAGUUCUCUGGGUCAUCCUACCCUAAGGCCUCAAUGCAUGCUAGGCAGAUGCUCUACCACCAAGCCAAUCCCCAGUCCAGUUCUUUGAGAUUGGUUUUGGUCAGGGUCUCCCUACGUAACUCUGGCCGCCCUGUAACUUGAUAUAUAAUCUAGGCUAGCCUCCAACUCAGGUCAGCCUGCCUCUGUCUGUACACAGAUUCACAUAUUUAUCACAAAUCAGGACUCCAGCAGUUCUACUGCCCAAACGAUCCUGUUUUGGGUCCCAUUUGUGGUCAGACCCCAACCCAGCCCAACCCUACCACAGCCUCUGGUGAGCAUGUGCCUGCCUGUGUGCAUCCUAUGGGUUUGCUGAUGCUCGGUAUGUGCGGCCUGCAGUGUGCCUUUCCCACAGCCACGCGUCUUUGCUUUAUGGUGGUGUGUGUGGCUGUGCUACACUGCACUCAAUGAAGCACACCUGAGUUGUCUGUUUUAGGGGAUUGUAGAUAAAAUUACUAUAAACAUGUGUACACAGGUUAGUGUAUGUGUGAACAUAAGUUUUCAUUUCUCUAGGGUGUGUACUACAGAAUGAGAUAUUAGUCAUGAUGAUGGUGUGUGGAAUCAUUUUUAUUUUUAAAAUGCUAACCUUACAGAGUGGCCAUCCUUCCUUCUCGCCGAACUUGAUGGACACUGGUCAUACUCACCCCUGUGCUCUCUUAUCCCCUCCCACAUUCUCAGAACACCUUUUCCCAGUAAGUUACACCACCCCUCCCCCAUGCUCAUAACAUUUCUGUGUUCACAUCUUUAAAAACUGGGCUAGUAAGGCGUUGUGUUACAGCAGCUUCAUACAUGGCAUCACACUGUUCUCGGGGUCCCCCUCCUGGUCCAUAUCGUUAUUUAUUUUGUAAACUGUAUUUUUGGAAAAUACACAUUUAUAGGAUCUGUGUGCCAGUUCCUCCUAGCGCCCUCAUCCUGCCUCCCUCCCAACAAGUCCACCUUGUUUUGUUCUUAACAUCAAUACCCUGGAUCCAGUUGGUGCUGCCUGUUGCUCAUGGUGUGGGAUCAUCUGCUAGGGUGUGGGCACCUUACCAGUGGCCGAGUCGCCAAAGGAGGAUGGCCUCCCUCCCUCUGUAGCCAUCAGCGCCAAUAGCUCCUCCCGCAAGAGCAGGUGGAUAAGUAUGUUUACCCAGUAUGAGUUGAGUUGAUGAGUUGAUGUGACAACAGCCUUAAGAUAGCCAGCAGCCUCACCCUCCAGCGCCUACAUUCUUCCUACUCUGGGGCCAUGAAAAGGAACAGGAAGCUGGUUGACACCUCCUGCAGAAUUCCAGCACAAUUACUGUUUGUCGUAAAGAUUGCCAGCUAGAAGUCACACUUUUUAUUUAUAGAAAUUUUGUGUUAAAAUAAUAGUGAAUGUGGCCUUACUCCUAAACAGUUUCUGGGAAUUAAAAAAAUAAGACUUUUUUUUAAAAAAAAAUAAAUAAAAAUGUCCCCU
rnacentral:lncRNA from 1 species